AUGGAGUACGAUGAUGGCGAUGUGGCGCAAGUGGACCUCAUGGAGUUCGGCUGGGCUGGCGGCGGUCGGCGGUGGACGCGGGUGCAUGAGUUGUGGGUCUCCAUCUGCUGCUCUACCAUCACUUACUCCCACUCUGUUCACUGGUUUUGUUUUCACUGUCACGCCUAUUCCUCAUCGACCUGCAGCACCAGGAGACGCGAGAUCACCUCCGGCACCGCUGGUCACAUGAAGGUCGUUAAAAAUGGUACAUUCUCCAUAAAAAUAGGUUUUGCUUAUCUAUAUUCUUUAUUGUUGAAUUAUAGCACAAACAUUUGCUGA
rnacentral:rRNA from 1 species